UCCCUGGAGGACUAGUGUUUAGGUCACGGCACUCUCACGUCUGCGGCCCGGGUUCAAUUCCCAGCCAGGGAA